rnacentral:rRNA from 1 species
CGUACGGCUCAGUAACACCUAUUCAACCUGCCCUGGAGACCCGAACAACCCCGGGAAACUGGGAUUAAUGCGGGAUAGGUCAUCUCAUCUGGAAGGAGAGAUGGCCGAAAGGGGUGCGCGGGCUUCUUCCGUGUACUUGUUCCAGGAUGGGACUGCGACCGAUCAGGCUGUUGGCGAGGUAAUGGCUCACCAAACCAGUAACCGGUACGGGCCUUGAGAGAGGGGGCCCGGAGAUGGACACUGAGAGAAGGGUCCAGGUCCUACGGGGCGCAGCAGGCGCGAAACCUUCGCAAUGCGCGAAAGCGUGACGAGGUUAAUCCGAGUGGUCCCCGCUGAGGGGAUCUUUUGUCGGCUGUAAAAAGGCCGGUGAAUAAGGGGAGGGCAAGUCUGGUGUCAGCCGCCGCGGUAAUACCAGCUCCUCGAGUGGUCGGGGCGAUUAUUGGGCCUAAAGCAUCCGUAGCCGGUUCCGUAGGUCUUCUGUCAAAUCCAACGGCUCAACCGUUGGCCCGCAAAAGAUACCGCGGGACUAGGAGGCGGGAGAGGUGUGCGGUACUCCUCGUGUAGGGAUAAAAUCCUUUGAUUCGUGGAAUA